rnacentral:rRNA from 1 species
AGUGAACGCUGGCGGUAGGCCUAACACAUGCAAGUCGAACGGCAGCACAGUAAGAGCUUGCUCUUACGGGUGGCGAGUGGCGGACGGGUGAGGAAUACAUCGGAAUCUACUUUUUCGUGGGGGAUAACGUAGGGAAACUUACGCUAAUACCGCAUACGACCUACGGGUGAAAGCAGGGGAUCUUCGGACCUUGCGCGAUUGAAUGAGCCGAUGUCGGAUUAGCUAGUUGGCGGGGUAAAGGCCCACCAAGGCGACGAUCCGUAGCUGGUCUGAGAGGAUGAUCAGCCACACUGGAACUGAGACACGGUCCAGACUCCUACGGGAGGCAGCAGUGGGGAAUAUUGGACAAUGGGCGCAAGCCUGAUCCAGCCAUACCGCGUGGGUGAAGAAGGCCUUCGGGUCGUAAAGCCCUUUUGUUGGGAAAGAAAAGCAGCAGGUUAAUACCCCGCUGUUCCGACGGUACCCAAAGAAUAAGCACCGGCUAACUUCGUG